GAUGAACGCUGGCGGCGUGCCUAAUACAUGCAAGUCGAGCGAACGGACGAGAAGCUUGCUUUUCUGAUGUUAGCGGCGGACGGGUGAGUAACACGUGGAUAACCUACCUAUAAGACUGGGAUAACUUCGGGAACCCGGAGCUAAUACAGGAUAAUAUUUUGAACCGCAUGGUUCAUAAGAGAAAGCGGGUCUUGCUGACACUAAUAGAGGGAUCCGCGCUGCAUUAGCUAGUUGGUAAGGUAACGGCUUACCAAGGCAACGAUGCAUAGCCGACCUGAGAGGGUGAUCAGCCACACUGGAACUGAGACACGGUCCAGACUCCUACGGGAGGCAGCAGUAGGGAAUCUUCCGCAAUGGGCGAAAGCCUGACGGAGCAACGCCGCGUGAGUGAUGAAGGUCUUCGGAUCGUAAAGCUCUGUUAUUAGGGAAGAACAUAUGUGUAAGUAACUGUGCACAUCUUGACGGUACCUAAUCAGAAAGCCACGGCUAACUACGUG
rnacentral:rRNA from 1 species